GGAGAGUACAGCUCAGUGGUAGAGUACCUACUUAGCAUGCACGAGGUCCUGGGUUCAAUCCCCAGUCCCUCCA
rfam:Camelus ferus unplaced genomic scaffold scaffold251, whole genome shotgun sequence.